CCUAACACAUGCAAGUCGAGCGGUAACAGAAAGUAGCUUGCUACUUUGCUGACGAGCGGCGGACGGGUGAGUAAUGCUUGGGAACAUGCCUUGAGGUGGGGGACAACAGUUGGAAACGACUGCUAAUACCGCAUAAUGUCUACGGACCAAAGGGGGCUUCGGCUCUCGCCUUUAGAUUGGCCCAAGUGGGAUUAGCUAGUUGGUGAGGUAAUGGCUCACCAAGGCAACGAUCCCUAGCUGGUUUGAGAGGAUGAUCAGCCACACUGGGACUGAGACACGGCCCAGACUCCUACGGGAGGCAGCAGUGGGGAAUAUUGCACAAUGGGCGCAAGCCUGAUGCAGCCAUGCCGCGUGUGUGAAGAAGGCCUUCGGGUUGUAAAGCACUUUCAGUCAGGAGGAAAGGUUAGUAGUUAAUACCUGCUAGCUGUGACGUUACUGACAGAAGAAGCACCGGCUAACUCCGUGCCAGCAGCCGCGGUAAUACGGAGGGUGCGAGCGUUAAUCGGAAUUACUGGGCGUAAAGCGUACGCAGGCGGUUUGUUAAGCGAGAUGUGAAAGCCCCGGGCUCAACCUGGGAACUGCAUUUCGAACUGGCAAACUAGAGUGUGAUAGAGGGUGGUAGAAUUUCAGGUGUAGCGGUGAAAUGCGUAGAGAUCUGAAGGAAUACCGAUGGCGAAGGCAGCCACCUGGGUCAACACUGACGCUCAUGUACGAAAGCGUGGGGAGCAAA
rnacentral:rRNA from 1 species